CCACUGGAAACGGUGAUUAAUACCGGAUACUCCUUCUUGUUAUAAGACAAGUCGGGAAAGUUUUUCGCUAAGGGAUCAGUCUAUGUUCCAUCAGCUUGUUGGUGAGAUAACAGCUCACCAAGGCCACGAUGGGUAACCGGUCUGAGAGGGCGAACGGUCACACUGGAACUGAGACACGGUCCAGACUCCUACGGGAGGCAGCAGUGGGGAAUAUUGCGCAAUGGGGGCAACCCUGACGCAGCAAUACCGCGUGAGUGAAGAAGGUUUUCGGAUCGUAAAGCUCUGUUAUUGGGGAAGAAAAAAAGACGGUACCCAAGAAGAAAGUUCCGGCUAACUACGUGCCAGCAGCCGCGGUAAUACGUAGGGAACAAGCGUUGUCCGGAUUUACUGGGCGUAAAGGGCACGCAGGCGGUUUUUUAAGUCAGAUGUGAAAGGCCACAGCUCAACUGUGGACAUGCAUUUGAAACUGAAAGACUUGAGUAUUGGAGAGGCAAGUGGAAUUCCUAGUGUAGCGGUGAAAUGCGUAGAU
rnacentral:rRNA from 1 species